UUGUUGUUGUUGUUCACAAAUGUAAUGAUUGGGUAUCCAUGCCAUUUUGUGACAUGCGGCUCCCUCAAACCUUGUUGUAACAUUAAUAUAUUACUUCUCUGGAA